rnacentral:rRNA from 1 species
UUCCGGUUGAUCCUGCCGGACCUGACUGCUAUCGGAUUGGUACUAAGCCAUGCGAGUCGUUGUAGCAAUACAAGGCGGACGGCUCAGUAACACGUAGUCAACCUAACCUAUGGACGUGGAUAACCUCGGGAAACUGAGAAUAAACCGCGAUAGAUCAUUAUGCCUGGAAUGGCUUAUGGUUUAAACAAUUUAUUGCCGUAGGAUGGGACUGCGGCCUAUCAGCUUGUUGGUGAGGUAAUGGCCCACCAAGGCUAUAACAGGUACGGGCUCUGAGAGGAGAAGCCCGGAGAUGGGUACUGAGACACGGACCCAGGCCCUAUGGGGCGCAGCAGGCGAGAAACCUUAGCAAUGUGCGAAAGCACGACUAGGUUAAUCCGAGUGAUUUCUGUUGAAGAAAUCUUUUGUCAGUCGUAAAACCACAGACGAAUAAGGGGUGGGCAAGUCUGGUGUCAGCCGCCGCGGUAAUACCAGCACCUCGAGUGGUCAGGAGGUUUAUUGGGCCUAAAGCAUCCGUAGCCGGCUUUGCAAGUCUCCGGUUAAAUCCAGCUGCUCAACAGAUGGGCUGCCGGAGAUACUACAAAGCUAGGGAGCGGGAGAGGCAGACGGUAUUCUGUGGGUAGGGGUAAAAUCCUCUGAUCCAUAGAGGACCACCAGUGGCGAAGGCGGUCUGCCAGAACGCGUUCGACGGUGAGGGAUGAAAGCUGGGGGAGCAAACCGGAUUAGAUACCCGGGUAGUCCCAGCUGUAAACGAUGCAAACUCGGUGAUGCAUUGGCUUAUGGCCAAUGCAGUGCCGCAGGGAAGCCGUUAAGUUUGCCGCCUGGGAAGUACGGACGCAAGUCUGAAACUUAAAGGAAUUGGCGGGGGAGCACCACAAGGGGUGAAGCCUGCGGUUCAAUUGGAUUCAACGCCGGG